rnacentral:rRNA from 1 species
AAUCAACGCUGGCGGCGUGCUUAACACAUGCAAGUCGAACGAUGAACUUGGAGCUUGCUCUGGGGGAUUAGUGGCGAACGGGUGAGUAACACGUGAGUAACCUGCCCUGGACUCUGGGAUAACUUCGAGAAAUCGGAGCUAAUACCGGAUAGGACCUUGCACCGCAUGGUGUGGGGUGGAAAGUUUUUCGGUUUGGGAUGGACUCGCGGCCUAUCAGCUUGUUGGUGAGGUAAUGGCUCACCAAGGCGUCGACGGGUAGCCGGCCUGAGAGGGUGACCGGCCACACUGGGACUGAGACACGGCCCAGACUCCUACGGGAGGCAGCAGUGGGGAAUGUUGCACAAUGGGCGCAAGCCUGAUGCAGCAACGCCGCGUGCGGGAUGACGGCCUUCGGGUUGUAAACCGCUUUUAGUAGGGAAGAAGCCUUCGGGUGACGGUACCUGCAGAAAAAGGACCGGCUAACUACGUGCCAGCCGCCGCAGUAAUAC